rnacentral:rRNA from 1 species
CCUACGGGAGGCAGCAGUGAGGAAUAUUGGUCAAUGGCCGCAGGGCUGAACCAGCCAAGUCGCGUGAGGGAUGACGGUCCUAUGGAUUGUAAACCUCUUUUGUCAGGGAGCAAAGGGCGCCACGUGUGGCGUUUUGCGAGUACCUGAAGAAAAAGCAUCGGCUAACUCCGUGCCAGCAGCCGCGGUAAUACGGAGGAUGCGAGCGGUCUCCGGAUUUAUUGGGGAUAAAGGGUGCGUCGGCGGAAUGUUAAUGUAGCGGUAAAAGUUCGGGUCUCAACCCCGGUGUGCCGUUGAAACUGGCGUUCUUUGGUGAGCGAGAAGUAUGCGGAAUGGGUGGUGUAGCGGUGAAAUGCAUAGAUAUCACGCAGAACUCCGAUUGCGAAGGCAGCAUACCGGCGCUCAACUGACGCUCAUGCACGAAAGCGUGGGUAUCGAACAGGAUUAGAUACCCCUGUAGUC